rnacentral:ncRNA from 1 species
GUUUGUUUAACUAUGGCAAUAGAAAGUAUCCGUCAGUUUAAUUGCAUAAAGUUAUUUUAUUUUUCUAUUAAUAAGAAUUUUGUUUAGUAAAUUAGCAGUUAGUUUUUUAUUAGAAUGUAAGUUUUAUAAGAGAGUGUCGGUAUAAAGGGGAUAGGACGCAGUGCCAGCAUCCGCGGUUAAUCUGUUUUCUUUGCUUUUAUGUGACUAAUGGUUAAGCGGUUAAACACAAGGUUGGGUGAAAUUUUCUUGCUUAUGUAUUCAACGCUUAAUAUAGUAUUAGUAGUGGUUAAUGACAGGGAUUAGAUACCCCAUUAGUAUGCUAUGUAUAGUAGUCUAGUUUCAUAACUAAAAUAGUUUGGCAGCGAGUUACUCCUAUCGGGGGAAGGUGUGUUAUAAAGGACGAUCCGCCUAUUAAUUUACUUUGGUUUUGUUGGUGUAUAUCUGGUUGAAUAUUAUUGCUUUGUAGCUGAAUUUGUAUAAUUAAAUUUAAGCCAAGUCUAUGUGCUGCAUACUAAAGUUUUCAUGCGUUACAUUUAUAUUAGUUACUCUGUGAGUUAGUGGCUGUAAUUAGGACUCGAAAGUAAUAUAAAAUUAUUUUGUUUAUUUGAAGAAGGUUUAACUCGGGUACACACCGCCCGUCACCCUCGAUUUUUGUUGAGGUAAGUCGUAACAUGGUAACCACAAAUGAAUUUGUGGUUAAUUACAGAUUAUU